rnacentral:misc_RNA from 1 species
CCUAUAAGAAAUACAACAGAACAAUGUCAAUAGAAGUAGUUUUCUUGCAUUCUUGCUCCCAAAAAUCAACCAUUAACGCUUGAGAUAAGCAAAGUAGGAAAUAAAAACAAAAAGAAGGAAACAUUACUUUUGUAUUUUGCACAAAUAUUACGAAAUCAAUCUGUUGUCCUUUACAAUGUGGAAGCAAACUAGACAACGAUAAAAAGGGAAGAUGAAAAGAGAUUGCCAAGCUAGGGCAACUUAGUGAAUUAAGCAAACACACAUGCCCAUAAAAUAGGUAUACAUUUAUGCUGUUUAAAUGAGCUAGUUCAUGGAUUUGCUGCAUUGUUUCAAUCAAAUGCCUUAUUCAGUUUAAACAACAAUAAAGGAACAUUCACGUUAAUAGAAUGAUUGACUGGGUUCUACAAGAAUUCAAAAACAUUUGGAUUUUAAGAACUUUGGGAAAGGAUAUAAAGUAACACAAAGUGAAUAGUACAAGUAGAAGUAGAUCAGUGUGUGAAUCAAUCCUGAUGCAUUCAUCAAAGUUCUUUCCAUUAUUCAGCAACUGCAACACAGUUGAAAAGCAAUGUUAAGAUUAUUAUUACACCUCACACUAAAUGCUUUCAGAUGAACAAAAGAUGAUUCUUAGGUUCAAGUAUUCUAUCAAAAAUAUUAUUCAGUCAAUAAUAUUC